GGGUAACUAGAUUAUCCUGUAGAUGAUUGCAGCAAUGUUCGAGAUUCUAAAAUAGCCACGCAGUUGCCUGACCUCUACCGAUAUCCACUCGAGCAGGAUCUGGAUCAUCUUCUUCACAUGAAUCUUUGCUCUAAAAAUUAGAUCUGGAUCUGAUCUAGGGAAGAUCUUCUGAAGCUAGAGCAGCAACUUCUCGACAAAUCUCUGCAGCC
rnacentral:lncRNA from 1 species